rnacentral:rRNA from 1 species
UACGGAGGAUGCAAGCGUUAUCCGGAAUGAUUGGGCGUAAAGCGUCCGCAGGUAGCAGUUCAAGUCUGCUGUCAAAGACCGGGGCUUAACUUCGGGAAGGCAGUGGAAACUGAACAGCUAGAGUAUGGUAGGGGCAGAGGGAAUUCCUGGUGUAGCGGUGAAAUGCGUAGAGAUCAGGAAGAACAUCGGUGGCAAAGGCGCUCUGCUGGACCAUAACUGACACUCAGGGACGAAAGCUAGGGGGGCGAAUGGG